UUUGUAAAAAAACAAAACAAAACGUGUUUGAGAACCGAGUUGUUUUUUGGUUCAAAACCACAACAAUCCAGAAUUUAAACAGCUUUCACAAAACAACAAAAGGUUGUUUUAAGUCUCGUGUUUUCAUUUCCCCCAAAUCAUCGACCCAACUUACCCCAGCUUCGUCCUCAUCUCAGAUCGCCAGCCGCCGUCGCCGUCACCGUGUCCCACUAGCGCCGCUCGCCGUCGCCAUUGUCGUGUCGCCCCUAGCGCAGUCCGUCGUUGCCGUCACCGUGUCCCCUGGCGUCGUCGUCGUCUUCGUCACCGCCUUUAGAUCUUGUCGCCGUCGCCGCCUUCAAAUCGCGUCGUCGUCGCCGCCUUUAGAUCGCGUCGCUGUCGCCUCCUUCGGAUCCCGUCGCCGUUGCCGCCUUCAGAUCUCAUCGCUGCCUCCUCCAAAUCCACUUCCUCAAAACCCGAACCCGUUAUCUGCCAUGCUCUGAAACCAGCGUCAUCCGACGACAAAGAUCCGAACUCUCUGCGAGCUCGUUUCGUGAUUCUCUGCGCUUGAUCAGGUCCAAAGUUGAGGCGAACUUGGAGAGCCGAGGAAAGCACUAUGGCGGAGGUAUGCUUACCCCAAUGGCCAAGUUGAGAGAAGCCAAGGAUGUAAUGCUUGCAAUCCUCACUCUGUAAGUCUUGUUUGGAAGUACUCUGAACACUACAGGAGCACACUGGCCGGUGCUUAUAUUGCAAGCGUUUGCUCCACCAACGGCCGCAAGAGAACAAUUGAACUGCCCUCUGCCAUUAAUCAGUAGGCUCUGCGCACAACAAAGCAUAGGCAACCAAUAUGUCAAUAUAUGAAACAGAGUAGCAAAGAGAAUAGGUUUGAGAGCUUCGUCAUGCAAGAACAAAUACUUUACUAUUAUCAGCUAGUCUUGAGCCUGUUGGAGUAUGACAAUCCUCUCCAUAACUUCGGAGGGUGUUUUGGUGCCGUGCAAGGGUUCUUUAACGCAUAUUAGCAAGAAAAUAAAGUAUAUCUGUAUCAUAACUUCAUGUUGUUUGAUUCUUCUUAGUUCUUCUGUUAUUUUUGACCCUUCUUGAUACUUUAUGCUUUAUAAUACGGUGGAUUGCGCUUCUCUUUCACUC